UACGAAGGGGGCUAGCGUUGUUCGGAAUUACUGGGCGUAAAGCGUGCGCAGGCGGCUUCUCAAGUCAGGGGUGAAAGCCCAGAGCUCAACUCUGGAAUUGCCUUUGAGACUGAGUGGCUUGAGUACGAGAGAGGUGAGUGGAAUGCCGAGUGUAGAGGUGAAAUUCGUAGAUAUUCGGCGGAACACCAGUGGCGAAGGCGACUCACUGGCCCGAUACUGACGCUGAUGCGCGAAAGCGUGGGGAGCAAACAGG
rnacentral:rRNA from 1 species